AGAGUUUGAUCAUGGCUCAGAGCGAACGCUGGCGGCAGGCCUAAUACAUGCAAGUCGAGCGGUCCCUUCGGGGGCAGCGGCGGACGGGUGAGUAACGCGUGGGAACGUGCCCUUUGGUACGGAACAACUGAGGGAAACUUCAGCUAAUACCGUAUGUGCCCUUCGGGGGAAAGAUUUAUCGCCAUUGGAGCGGCCCGCGUUGGAUUAGGUAGUUGGUGAGGUAAAGGCUCACCAAGCCUACGAUCCAUAGCUGGUCUGAGAGGAUGAUCAGCCACACUGGGACUGAGACACGGCCCAGACUCCUACGGGAGGCAGCAGUAGGGAAUCUUGCGCAAUGGGCGAAAGCCUGACGCAGCCAUGCCGCGUGAAUGAUGAAGGUCUUAGGAUUGUAAAAUUCUUUCACCGGGGACGAUAAUGACGGUACCCGGAGAAGAAGCCCCGGCUAACUUCGUGCCAGCAGCCGCGGUAAUACGAAGGGGGCUAGCGUUGCUCGGAAUUACUGGGCGUAAAGGGAGCGUAGGCGGAUAGUUUAGUCAGAGGUGAAAGCCCAGGGCUCAACCUUGGAAUUGCCUUUGAUACUGGCUAUCUUGAGUAUGGAAGAGGUAUGUGGAACUCCGAGUGUAGAGGUGAAAUUCGUAGAUAUUCGGAAGAACACCAGUGGCGAAGGCGACAUACUGGUCCAUUACUGACGCUGAGGCUCGAAAGCGUGGGGAGCAAACAGGAUUAGAUACCCCGGUAGUCC
rnacentral:rRNA from 1 species